rnacentral:tRNA from 1 species
GUUUGGUUAGUAUAGUUAGUAUAAAUGGCUUAGGACCGUUAGGAGAGGAGUCACCAAAGA